ensembl:lncRNA
GCCCAUUCUCAUGUUUUGAGUGACGCGAUCAUCUAUGAGACAAGAGAGGAUCCGAGGUGGCCGCGUUUAACGCUGUUGACCACUACAGUCAUUGCGCGCGGGGGACGACAGACAUUCGCCUUUUUUCCCCCGACUUGCUGUGUUUUUCCCGCGGACUUUUCUGUGCUAUUUGACAACAAUGCUCUUAGUUUUCUUACGGAGAAUAGUCACUGUGUCGUGUAUGAAGGCGUAAUCUCGGUGUAGUGGAGCAGCUCGGAUUCUACGAGGCCAAAGAGAACUCUUCUUUGGGAAACCAAACAUGCCGCGGCGGAAACAAGAAGCGCCCAAGCGCGCGGCAGACACUCACACGAACACCAUCCGGAGAUCGGAGGAGAGGAAAAUAACCUAAGACUGAGAUAUCUCCCCUGCUGGUUUGUCCCCCGAGCGCUUGGCCCUCUUUACGAGCGGUGUGCCAGGCCCUGCCAAGCGCACGGGGCCCAGUGACAUCUUUUGAUCAGGGCUGUCGCAGAAGAUCAGCGGAGACUGGCAGGUAAUGGAUACCCAGUGACAAACUAAAUCUACGGGCAGGAUGGGAGACUAGACCGCACCUGCCAGGUCCCUAUUAGACUGGCCCUUUCAGUGGGGCUGCCUGCCUGCCUGCUGACACCCACCGCCCCCAGGGCCAACAUCAGACCACCGCCCAGCCGCCCUGAGAUUAGCUGUUAGCAGGAUAUGGGGGUUAUUCCAGCGAUGACAUUUUUGUUUAGACUGGAUGUGUUUGUGUGUAAAGGGAUUAGUGAUUUGGUGUGUGUGUGUGUG